rnacentral:misc_RNA from 1 species
GAUGAAGAACGCAGCGAAAUGCGAUAACUAAUGUGAAUUGCAGAAUUCAGUGAAUCAUCGAGUUUUUGAACGCAUAUUGCGCCCUCUGGUAUUCCGGGGGGCAUGCCUGUUCGAGCGUCAUUAAAUAACCCUCAAGCAUAGCUUGGUGUUGGGCUUUUUUACGUCCUUGACUGGGAUGGGCCUAAAAAUUAGUGGCGAUGGCUUUUUUACUUUCAAGCGUAGUAAAUCUCGUCUUGCUAAAGAGGAAAAAGAUUUUUUUUCUGCCAAAAAUUUUAACAUUUAAAGUUGACCUCGGAUCAGGUAGGAUUACCCGCUGAACUUAAGCAUAUCAAUAAGCGGAGGA